GAGGCCCAAAGUGGGGUGUUCUGCUGGGGAGGCUGGACGGCAAGACGUCCAGCAUCAGCGGCGCAAACAACCUGCCGGCGCCCUUCGAGACCCUCGACAUGCUUCGGAGAAAGUUCAGGGCCGUCGGCCUUAACAGCGACGUCGACCUCGUCGCCCUGUCAGGUAGUACAAUAUUUAUUUCUCACUCCACACGAUCUUCACUGCAUCGGUUGGGUUUUCCUCGGACUCGACGUAUAUCAAAAUUAUAUAGUUACCAUAUAUAAUAUAAUAUAUAUAUGUAUAUGUAUAAUAUACUUUCUCCGUUCCAAAUUACUAUUCGUUUUGACUUUUCAAGAUAUAUGGACUUUGACAUGCACUUAUAUAUAUUAUAUCUAGGUACAUAACAAAAGUUAUGUAUCUAGAACAGUCAAAACGAAUAGUCCACGAAUAGUAAUUUGGGACGGAGGGAGGAUAUACUAUAUGUGCAAACCAAAAUUACUGUUCUGAGAGUUUCUGAUGAAGGCCCCUUCUGUUUCUGUCGAACAAUAUGACAACAGGGGCCCACACGUUUGGCAGGGUGCAGUGCCUAAACAUCGCCGACUCCCCGGCCGACCGGCUCUACAACUUCAGCGGGACAAACAGGCCUGACCCAACCCUUGACCCGGCUUACCGAGCAUUCCUAAUCCGGAGGUGCCCGACGAAGAAUGGCAACAGCCCGGUUCUAAACGACCUCGAUCCAACAACACCAGACCUCUUCGACAAGAACUACUACACCAACCUUGAAGUGAACCGUGGGAUCCUCACUUCCGACCAGGAGCUCAAGUCCUCGCCCCAAGCGCGGGGCACCACGGCGCCGAUCGUCGACCAGUUUGCGAGG
rnacentral:lncRNA from 1 species